AGCGAACGCUGGCGGCAGGCCUAACACAUGCAAGUCGAACGAACUCUUCGGAGUUAGUGGCGGACGGGUGAGUAACACGUGGGAACGUGCCUUUUGGUUCGGAAUAACUCAGGGAAACUUGUGCUAAUACCGAAUGUGCCCUUCGGGGGAAAGAUUUAUCGCCAUUAGAGCGGCCCGCGUCUGAUUAGCUAGUUGGCGAGGUAACGGCUCACCAAGGCGACGAUCAGUAGCUGGUCUGAGAGGAUGGCCAGCCACACUGGGACUGAGACACGGCCCAGACUCCUACGGGAGGCAGCAGUGGGGAAUCUUGCGCAAUGGGCGAAAGCCUGACGCAGCCAUGCCGCGUGAAUGAUGAAGGUCUUAGGAUUGUAAAAUUCUUUCACCGGGGACGAUAAUGACGGUACCCGGAGAAGAAGCCCCGGCUAACUUCGUG
rnacentral:rRNA from 1 species